rnacentral:rRNA from 1 species
CUUGAUGGUAGUGUAUUGGACUACCAUGGCUUUCACGGGUAACGGGGGAUUAGGGUUCGACACCGGAGAGGGAGCCUGAGAAACGGCUACCACUUCUACGGAAGGCAGCAGGCGCGUAAAUUACCCAAUCCUAAUUCAGGGAGGUAGUGACAAGAAAUAAUGGACCGGGAUUUUCCCGGGUUCACAAUGAGUCUAAUUUACACAUCUUAGUGAGGAUCCAUUGGAGGGCAAGUCUGGUGCCAGCAGCCGCGGUAAUUCCAGCUCCAAUAGCGUAUAUUAAAGUUGUUGCAGUUAAAAAGCUCGUAGUUGGACUUCAUAGACUCCAGUUUGUAUAACAGACUGGAUCGAACUAGCCUUUGGCUGUUACUGUGAGAAAAUUAGAGUGUUUCAAGCAGGCAUUUGCAGGAAUACAUUAGCAUGGAAUAACGAAUAAAUUUAGAAUCUUGGUUAAUUCUAAAAUUUGAUUAAUAGGGACAGUUGGGGGCAUUAGUAUUUAAUAGUCAGAGGUGAAAUUCUUGGAUUUGUUAAAGACUAACAUAUGCGAAAGCAUUUGUCAAGGAUGUUUUCAUUAAUCAGCGGGCUAAAGAUAGGGGAUCAAAGACGAUCAGAUACCGUC